GCUUCCUGUCAGCUCAGUCAGUAGAGCAUGGGACUCUUAGUCUCAGGGUUGUGGGUUCGAGUUCCACAUUGGGCA